UGCGCAGGCGGCCUGAUAAGUCAGGUGUGAAAUCCCCGCGCUUAACGUGGGCAUUGCAUUUGAAACUAUGUAGCUAGAGUUCUGUAGAGGGGGGUAGAAUUCCAGGUGUAGCGGUGAAAUGCGUAGAGAUCUGGAGGAAUACCGAUUGCGAAGGCAGCCCCCUGGACAGUGACUGACGCUCAUAUGCGAAAGCGUGGGGAUCAAACAGGAUUAGAUACCCCAGUA
rnacentral:rRNA from 1 species